rnacentral:lncRNA from 1 species
CAACCAAAGAGUUCACCAUAAAAAAAGGACUAAAAGUUGAACUCUUUUAAUCUCAUCGAUAAUCCAUAUUGUAGAUUAUUCUUUUCCUGCAAUUCUUAAAGAAAGAAAACUCUCUCUUCCCUUGUGUGUUUGAUAUCUCUGAACCUGUAAUAAUACACAAUCUGUUUUUCUGAACAUACUGUUUGAUAUGUUUCCUGCUGGAACAAAUUGCAGGGGCAAAUAAUGCAAACAAACAAUCUUCUCUGAACUUGCAAUGGUGUUUUCAGUCUCUUGAUCCAAUUCCUUUCAAAUGAGGCCAAUCUGAUGAAAAGCAAAUUGUGUUUGCAUUUAGUAUGUUAGAUUAUUUCCAGUGAUGCUGUCUUUUAGGGUAUCCUUCUGUUUGGAGAAAAUUGUUGAUACCCACUACAAGAAAAAGUUGCAAAGCUUUACAGUGCAUGAAAUUUCAUAGAAUCUGUUCCAGUAAUUCUCACCCCAGUCAGACCACACUACAUAGAACAUAUUGCAUCUGACCUUAACAUGUCAUAAUGAUCAAUUUGGCUUUUGAGUGAAGAAUGCCUUCAGUAGAGGUGUCUCAGUUGUUGAAGUGAAGAUGCAUCAGAUCUUUUACUCUCUACAGCUUUAUACUUACCAGAGCAUACCUCCAACAAUUAUCUAUUGUGCUCUUCUGAACACAUGAUACUUUUUCUCUGCACACAUAAAUACAUACUCAUGUAUAUAUAGUAUCAAAAGAUUAUACAUACUCUUAGAAAAGGAGUGAGGGUUCCUUUUCCUCACCAAGGCAGGAAACAGAGUUCUCCAUCACAUCUGAUUAAGAGAAACUAAAAGAAUCAAUAAGAAGUAGGAAGAGUAAGUGAUUGGAAAAAGACUUUGGAAAUGUCUAAUCAUUAUCCUAAGAUAACAUUGAAAUGAUUAGUCAAUGAUCACAGCACUUAAAUCAACCAUUAAAAGCAAUCAAAAUAUAGUGAAAUCUCAUGUUAGAAAAACCACAGGACAUUCAGAAAUUUGAGCUCCAUGGUGGAAUCCUAUAACCUGUUGAGGUUGAAGGAAGAGGAAGAGGAGUCCCACCAUGCAUACUGAAUCUUAGCACACUUCUUGAGCAGAUCUUUCUCUCUCUCUCUCUCCCUCGCACACACAUAAACUACAGGAUCAGAUACAUUACUCAGAGAUCAAACACCUUGAAAGGAGAAGAGGAAGAACUCCCCAGUGGAACUGAAUCAGGGAUGUCAAGUUAGAGAUCCCCUGUCUAGAAGAGAUGGCACCAGCUUCAUCCACACCAACCUGGACCCAUCUCAUGAAGCCGGUGUCAUCUCUCCUAGACUUGGAAACCCAACUCCUUGUCGUGCUUGCCCCUUCCUUCACCCCUUGGGUGUGUCUUAUAGCCUCGAGUGACU